CGGUCGCUGCCCGACUCGUUUGGCGGCUCUAUCCCUGCGACCAACAGUCCUCUAUAGGGAGCUGUCCCUGCCGGAGGUUUGCUUUCGGUAUAUGGCGCCCACCUGCACAUGCGGGUCACAGAGGAUCCACGCUCGCCGACGGUCUGGGCGGCACCGCC
rnacentral:other from 1 species